rnacentral:rRNA from 1 species
CUUACUGGAGGCAGCAGUGGGGAAUUUUGGACAAUGGGCGCAAGCCUGAUCCAGCAAUGCCGCGUGCAGGAUGAAGGCCUUCGGGUUGUAAACUGCUUUUGUACGGAGCGAAACGGUCUACUCUAAUACAGUGGGCUAAUGACGGUACCGUAAGAAUAAGCACCGGCUAACUACGUGCCAGCAGCCGCGGUAAUACGUAGGGUGCGAGCGUUAAUCGGAAUUACUGGGCGUAAAGCGUGCGCAGGCGGUUAUAUAAGACAGAUGUGAAAUCCCCGGGCUCAACCUGGGACCUGCAUUUGUGACUGUAUAGCUAGAGUGCGGCAGAGGGGGAUGGAAUUCCGCGUGUAGCAGUGAAAUGCGUAGAUAUGCGGAGGAACACCGAUGGCGAAGGCAAUCCCCUGGGCCUGCACUGACGCUCAUGCACGAAAGCGUGGGGAGCAAACAGGAUUAGAUACCCUGGUAGUCCACGCCCUAAACGAUGUCAACUGGUUGUUGGGUCUUCACUGACUCAGUAACAAAGCUAACGCGUGAAGUUGACCGCCUGGGGAGUACGGCCGCGAAGGUUGAAACUCAAAGGAAUUGACGG